rnacentral:lncRNA from 1 species
AAAACGAAUUUUACAAUGCGAGAAUCGACGGUUGCUAGGUAACAUAGCAAAAUAGAAUUCUACUCAUCGUGAUCCCACUACUGUACUUUCUGCUACCCUCUCCGCCCCCGCGGCCGGCAAUAUUGCACUAUCCAAGGUCGUGUGUUGUUUUGUUUUCCAUAGUUUACUCAGUUCAGUGACCGCGGUCAAAGUGACAGGUACUUGCCACUGCCCUAUUUGUGCGCCCUAAUCUGCUACCCUCUUGUGCUCAUUUAAUAUGAAAGUGUUGUGUUGCCUCAAAAAUGCAGAAGAUUACUAAUUAUUUUAACCAUCCCAAAAAAA